UACGUAGGGAGCAAGCGUUGUCCGGAAUCAUUGGGCGUAAAGCGCGCGUAGGUGGCCCGGUAAGUCCGCUCUGAAAGUUACAGGCUCAACCUGUGAAAGCGGGUGGAUACUGCCGGGCUAGAGUCCGGAAGAGGCGAGUGGAAUUCCUGGUGUAGCGGUGGAAUGCGCAGAUAUCAGGAGGAACACCAACGGCGAAGGCAGCUCGCUGGGACGGUACUGACACUGAGGCGCGAAAGCGUGGGGAGCGAACAGG
rnacentral:rRNA from 1 species